CCUACGGGAGGCACCAGUAGGGAAUCUUCCGCAAUGGACGAAAGUCUGACGGAGCAACGCCGCGUGAGUGAUGAAGGCUUUCGGGUCGUAAAACUCUGUUGUUAGGGAAGAACAAAUGCUAGUUGAAUAAGCUGGCACCUUGACGGUACCUAACCAGAAAGCCACGGCUAACUACGUGCCAGCAGCCGCGGUAAUACGUAGGUGGCAAGCGUUAUCCGGAAUUAUUGGGCGUAAAGCGCGCGCAGGUGGUUUCUUAAGUCUGAUGUGAAAGCCCACGGCUCAACCGUGGAGGGUCAUUGGAAACUGGGAGACUUGAGUGCAGAAGAGGAAAGUGGAAUUCCAUGUGUAGCGGUGAAAUGCGUAGAGAUAUGGAGGAACACCAGUGGCGAAGGCGACUUUCUGGUCUGUAACUGACACUGAGGCGCGAAAGCGUGGGGAGCAAACAGGAUUAGAUACCCGUGUAGUC
rnacentral:rRNA from 1 species